GGGCCCGCACAAGCGGUGGAGCAUGUGGUUUAAUUCGACGCAACGCGAAGAACCUUACCAGGUCUUGACAUCCGGACUAAGGCUCUAGAGAUAGAGAGAUAACAGGCCGAGACAGGUGGUGCAUGGUUGUCGUCAGCUCGUGUCGUGAGAUGUUAGGUUAAGUCCUGCAACGAGCGCAACCCUUGUCCUUAGUUACCAUCAUUAAGUUGGGGACUCUAAGGAGACUGCCGGUGUAAAUCGGAGGAAGGUGGGGAUGACGUCAAAUCAUCAUGCCCUUUAUGACCUGGGCUACACACGUGCUACAAUGGACGGUACAAAGAGAAGCGAGAUAGUGAUAUUAAGCAAACCUCAGAAAGCCGUUCUCAGUUCGGAUUGAAGUCUGCAACUCGACUUCAUGAAGCCGGAAUCGCUAGUAAUCGCGAAUCAGAACGUCGCGGUGAAUACGUUCUCGGGCCUU
rnacentral:rRNA from 1 species